AGAGUUUGAUCCUGGCUCAGAGCGAACGCUGGCGGCGUGCCUAACACAUGCAAGUCGAACGCUGAACUCCUGAAUCUUCGGAUUUGGGAGCUAGGCGUGGCGCACGGGUGAGUAACGCGUGGAUAACCUGCCCACUAGUGGGGAAUAACCCCGGGAAACUGGGGCUAAUACCGCAUAAUCUUUUCCUGACACCGGUCAGGAAAGGCAAAGCCCGCAAGGGCGCUGGUGGAGGGAUCCGCGUCUGAUCAGCUAGUUGGUGAGGUAACGGCUCACCAAGGCAGAGACCGGUAGCCGGUCUGAGAGGACGAUCGGCCACACUGGAACUGAGACACGGUCCAGACUCCUACGGGAGGCAGCAGUGAGGAAUAUUGCGCAAUGGGGGAAACCCUGACGCAGCGACGCCGCGUGGAGGACGACGCCCUUCGGGGUGUAAACUCCUUUCGACGGGGACGAAUGCCCGCAAGGGUUUGACGGUACCCGUAUAAGAAGCCCCGGCUAACUACGUGCCAGCGGCCGCGGUAAUACGUAGGGGGCAAGCGUUGCUCGGAAUUACUGGGCGUAAAGGGUCCGUAGGCGGUGGGGCAUGUCGGUUGUGAAAUCUCCCGGCUUAACUGGGAGGGUGCGAUCGAAACUGUUCCGCUAGAGGGCC
rnacentral:rRNA from 1 species